AAUGGCCAGUCUUCGCGAGCGAAGAUCCGGGGAAGGUCUUUACACCUUCCAGCCUGCGCAUUGGAUUUUUUAGGUGAGACACAGUGUGCGCGGAACUGAGCCCACCCUUUAAUCCUAAGGUUCAUCUGCCAGGGCCAAGCGAGCUUGGACGGUGGCAGCGAGCUCCUCAGGACGUAGAUGGAUUGCUUUAAAGGCUAACGAGCUCCAUCUGCCCGGGAGUGUCCCUGACCAGGAAUCGAACCCAGGUCUCGGUGGUGACAGCGCCGUGCCCUUAACCACUAGACCACCAGGGGCUCCAUUUAUAAGAUUAGGUCUACAUGGAAAAUACAAGUUUGAGGACAUCCUGUUCUGCUUAUUUUUCCUUAAUUAAGUAAAUUCUUUACAAGACAUUUAUGUUUUUUAAUUUACUAUCCUUAAAUUUAUCUGUGUAUCAGUUUAUUUAGGAAUUAUACCAUUUUGGUCUUCUAUCCAACUUAAAAUGUGAUCCUUUUCUCAGAACAAAAACCAAACCAAACCAAACAUAACAAAAAACCAAACCCAAACAAAACCACAAAACAAACCCAAAAACAAACAAAAAAAACCAACCAAAAGGAAGUCAGGAAGCAAAUAAAAACUAAUUUUUCCCCUUUUGCAAUAAUAAAAAUUCACUGAUAUUUUGCAAUUAAAAAAAAAAAACGUAACAUUCUCACCAAAAAGGCAACCAACCCUUUAAAUAUAUUCCAAUUCAAAUUUGAAGAAAAUUUGUACCAAAUAAUCUAAGUUCUUGCUAAAAAAAAACCCAACAAAUAUUUAUGUAAGUAGUUUCGGGACAAAAUGUUUUAAAAACAUUGAAAAAAGACUGUUUUGCUGAAAAGUUCAUUUUCAACUACAGCGUCAUUCAGUGAAAUAAGACACAUACUUUUUGGGACAUAGGUGUGAAACAGCAGAAGCCACCUGAAAGCUCAGUAUGGGAUUACUUUAAUCUUUGAGGGCCUGACUCCAAGUCCAUUGAUGUUAACUCCUGUUGACUUCAUUAGUUAUAGGAUUAAGUCUUUAAAAGAUAUCCACUUAGCUGGCAGAAGAUCUUAACUUCAGGCAUCACUGCACACAUGACCUCUCUGUGUCGGCAUCUCCAAUCAUUAAACCAAUGUUUUCCAGAAUAAGACUGCAGAUUCAACACUGCACAAAGCCAUAUGAAGCAUAUCCAAUCCUCUUGGGUUUCCUUAAUGGAUAUUCCAAACACUUACACAAAAUCUGCCAGGCUUCUUGAUAAUUCUUGAAAAAUGUUGAGCAAUUAGCUCACAGGUUUUCUCUUUCACACACAUAUACACUUGUUUCCAAUAUGCCCAGUAAGCAGGAAAGUAAUUGAAAUGUCAAGUCACUGUCCCCAUUUUAUGAAAUGGCCAUAGUGAGAUGGGGCCCAAAGUAGCCCCCACAGAUGCUCAUGAACAUCCACAGAACAGUUCCCUCGGCUGUUUUGAGUCCAGUAUUACAAGGGGUGAUUUUGGCAGUAUUAGGUGCAUUUUCAAACCCUUUUUUUCCUGUCUGUUUAGCGGGGAUAGUGUAACAUUUCAAUCAAGACUAUAUCCUAAUCCAAAAAUGUUGUUACCCUUACUAGUGAGACUAGCAAGACUGAAAGUGGUGAGAGCCCUCAGUACUGACAUGCCAGGCCUAAGCGAUAAUGGGGUGGGACAUGAGCAGACGCUACCUAGAUGUGUCCUACACAGGGACAUGUCUUGCUGCUUGCCUUUGUUCUCAUUUCUUUCAGUUACAACUCUGCACACAGGAUUUAUUGUGCUCUAAAAUGUUUUCAACGUCCAAAAAAAUCUUAGCACAGCGAUUAAUUCUGCGUGGAUUUACACUGGGUAGACUAACUAAUCAGACAGUAUUUCUAAUGCCAUUGAUGGGAAAAGAGAAAUGUUACUGUUUUAUAACUGACACAUCCACCUUUUUCCUUCAGUUCACUCACGAGUUAUUAGUAAUUGCUAGUUGGUUUAUAUAUUAGCAAAGGAUUAUCAUGUUGUUCCAUAACCCAAACUCCCGUAGGCUUCUGUAGGAAAUUUUUCUUCACAUUACACUGUACAGAUUGAUUUGAAAGACAAGUGACACACCUGCUUCCAGAGCUCUCUGUACUGAAAAGAUAUCACCUGGCAAUCAUUUCAUGCCACAGAAAUUAACAAACAUUUAAUAUUCUGUGUUAUAUACGUAUAAUGAAUGUCUUUGCCUAUUGUCUACACAGACAGGUUUCCACAAACAAAAGUGCCAGAAAUUACUGCACAGACAGCAAGCUGCAUUAUUGGAGAAGAGUUCUAUUUCUACUGAUAAAUAACAACUUUCCAUCUGCUGCAAGUUAUCAAUAGGGUCCAAUGUAUCAUGUAGUAAAGUUCCUCUUAUGGUCUAUGAGAUUUUACUAUUUAUUUUCAUUAUGCAAUGAAAACAGAAGUAAAAAAGUAAAAAAAAAAAAAAAAAAAAAAAAAAAAAGACAAA